CCUGGUUGAUCCUGCCAGUUGUCAUAUGCUUGUUUCAAGGAUUAAACCAUGCAAAUCUCAGAGUACUUGUACUUUUGUACAGAGGGGUCUGUGUACGGCUCAUUAAACGGUUUAUUGUCUACCCAACGAAGGAAGGACUUGUCCUUUCCGAUGGGAUAACUGCGCUAACUGCGCAGCUAAUACCUGGGAGAAGAAUCCGCGACCAUCAAACUACGUUCGCUUGGUGACUUGUGGACGUGGGGUCUCGGAUGCUCUUGGCCGAAACAAAGACUAGCGCGGUUCCAACCGCAGGUGUAAUUGUUGACGCAGGCCAAAGAAGCAGAAGCGAAAGAGCAAUCUUUCGCGUGGUUGGACGAAUUCACCACCUAUUAGGCGGAAGGUAGUGUAGUGGACUACCUUGCCUUCGAUGGGUAACGGAGGAUUGGGGUUCGAUUCCGGAGAGGGUGCCUGAGAAACGGCAACCAUGACCACGGUCAGCAGCAGGUGCGCAAAUUGCCCAAUGCUAACACAUUAGCGAGGCAGCAACGAAAAAUAACGUUCCUAAAGGCUUUGUCCUUUAGGGCUCGUCAUGGAUUGUAUCUAAUAGACACUGCUGAAAACCAUUGGAGGGCAAGUCUGGUGCCAGCAUCCGCGGUAAUUCCAGCUCCAAAAGCGUAUACGAAUGUUGCUGUGGUUAAAAAGCCCGUAGUUGGAUUUGAGACGAUUGUUUGGGGAUUGUGAAGCGUGAAUUUCGACUUCGGUUGAUGAUUUGUGUCUUUCGCCCCACAUAGACAAUCAUCUGAGACAUGUGGGAUCGGAUACUGGUGAGAAGUUCAGUUUGUUCUGUAGCUUUUCACAAAAUUCGGAGUUCUAUACUCCGUAAGGUACGCCCGCAGCUGUCACUGUGAGUAAACCAGAGUGCUCAAGGCAACCAACGUGUUUUGGUUAUGAAUGUUCAAGCAUGGAAUGACAAGGGAUCGACCUUCGAAGGUAGGCGUCUUUUUGCCAGUCUUAGUACGCUCGAAUGUAAGGAUAAUUUCGUGUAUACUUUUGUUGUGGAAUUUCAUCUUUGAUUUUUUCAUGCCCUUUAAAAAGGUAUGUAGAGUUGAAGUUGGUUUCACCGGUUACACAGCCCGGGAUAAAUAGGAUCACGGGGGGCCCUCGCUACUGGCGGGCUAGUGGUGAAAUACUGAGACCCCGCCAAGAGCGACAUCAGCGAAAGCAGUGGGCUAUCGUGCUUUCAUUAAUCAAGGACGAGAUGGGGGAUCGAAGAGGAUUAGACACCCUCGUAGUCCCUUCUGUAAAUUCUGCAAGCUCGGGAUUGGUCACGGUUCUAAUUUCAUUGGCCUGAUCAGCACCUUCUACCUCUAUCGGGAAACCAAAGCUUUUGUGUUCCGGGGGGAGUACAUUCGCAAGGCUGAAACUUAAAGGAAUUGACGGAGAACCACCACCAGCUGUGGAGUGUGUGGCUUAAUUCGACCCAACACGCGAAAUCUUACCAGGCCAGGACGUGGUGAUGAUUGCCGGAUUGAUAGCUCUUGCAUGAUUCCGCGAAGGGUAGUGCAUGGCCGCUUCUGGUUGGUGAAGUGAUUUGUCUGCUUAAUUGCGUUAACGAACGAGAUCUCUACCAAUUAAUAGAUGGUCCCUUCGUAUCUGUAGAUCGUUUGACAAGUGUGAGGGGUCACCUUUAUACUUGGUGGUCAUUCUUUACAUCGGUCGAGA
rnacentral:rRNA from 1 species